GAACCAAACUAGAAGUAAACCAGGUCUAAAUCAGGAGCACAUUGACUCAUGACAGGAUUUCGUGUUUCCUGUGGUCAUGAGGAAACUGACCAGACGAUUACAGCAACAAGUCGAGUGUGAAAACAAAGACCAGAUCUAAUCCCACUCAACGCUCUGUGACAGGGACCGGAUUAAAGCCUCACUGCGGGAUUUUUAUCGUCUGGAAAACACUAAACCAGAUCUGGAUCAGUGUUUGAUUCUUCCGUAACCUGACCCACAUUUCCACACCUCGGUUGCGUCGUGUUUUGCCCAAAUCAAACCACACGUCCUCCCGGUGACACAUCCUCUUUCCUCACUCGGCUCUUACGUGGAUUUAAGGAUUACCCCGGCUCGUCCCAUUGGCCCCGCGGAGCCCAGAACCGCAUAAAAAGGCGCCGUUCGUUCUCGGGGGACAUCAUCAUCCUCCUCCUCCGACGCACCUGAACUCCGCCGACUCGCCGAAGUCAAAGGCUCAAAGCAACAUGAAGCUCCUCUCCGCCACGGUUCUUCUGGUUCUCCUCGGACUCUCCCUCGCUGUUCCCAUGCAGGAGCAGGAGCAGGACGCCCGGGUCAAGCGCAGCUCAGAGACCUCGAGCAACAGCUCCAUCCUUCAGCUCCUGCUCCCUCUGAUCCUGGCCCAGGCUCAGACCAACCCCACCCUGGUCGCCACACUGCUCCAGCUCCUGGCCACUGCCGGCUGAACAUCUCCCACAGGUCUGAGCGUCACGCCAGACCGGACCGGACCGGACCACCGGACCGGACCACCGGGCCGCCACGC